rnacentral:rRNA from 1 species
UACGAAAGGGGCUAGCGUUGUUCGGAAUUACUGGGCGUAAAGCGCACGUAGGCGGCCUUGUAAGAUGGGGGUGAAAUCCCCGGGCUCAACCCGGGAACUGCCUUCAUGACUGCAAAGCUCGAGGAUGCGUGAGGAUAGCGGAAUUCCGAGUGUAGAGGUGAAAUUCGUAGAUAUUCGGAAGAACACCAGUGGCGAAGGCGGCUAUCUGGCGCAUUUCUGACGCUGAGGUGCGAAAGCGUGGGGAGCAAACAGG